AGCGACAUUAAUCAAGCUUCGUUUCAUAUCGUGCUUCUGAAGAGAGCCAACAGGUGAAUCAUGAAGAGUUUUGCUUUUCUCGUGCUCCUCAUUGGGGUCUCCGUUGCAUUUCCUCCUGAAGAUCUGCAUCACAAUUUGGCCCGACCAAGGCACAACUCUGACUCCGAUUCUGAUGAGAUGCCUGGAAGGUUCCCUUUUCCUCCAAGAAGGGGUCCCUUUUCCCACCUGACGUCAGAGCAGCUCCUCCAGCUCCUUCUGGCUGCCUUCUCCUCAGUCUUACCUCCGCCAGCCACUACACAUGCCCCACCAUCUACCACACGAUCUACCUCUACACCCUCAACUACCCCAACCACUAGACCUUCAACUACCCCAACUACAACCAAAAAGACUACUUAGUCAAUUAUACACAAUCAUUGAAAAUGAAAAGAAGAGCCUGAGAAGAAGACCUUUCUGACUAAAUGUGUCUCCUGACCCAGCGGACCUGCCUCGUCUGCCCUUCAUGUCUCCACCUCCUUCUCCUAUGUUCGUACGAUAUUCUGAGCUCUCCUCAGUCAGCUCUCUUCUCACGAAUGUUUGUCACGCAGCCAGAAAAAUAAA